GAACAAAAACUACUUUUGCGCUUAUUUCUAGGAACACACCGGUUGCUAUACGAAUGUUUGGCAAUCUUAUCUUUAGACAGUGAAUCAGAAGAGUCGACUGUAAGGCAAUCGGUGCUUUGUUGGUGACCGAUGUGAAGGUGUUUCCAGUAUCCUUAUGGAAGGCCACUCUAGUCCUGUCAGCGGAAAUGCCACUCCUGCCGUUAUACUGACAAGUCGCUAAUGCAACUACCGGUCACAAAGGCUAAUUUAGUUACGGACUGUGUCAAUUUACCUUUCAAAAACUGCAACAUAAACUUCAAAAGCCUUCUAAAAGACCGCUCGCUCAACCGGAAACUGCAUCUUUACGUUUUUUCGACGCGAUACUGAAACAAAUUCUACUCGAGUCUUCGUUUAUAUUACUUUUACCAAAUGAUGCCAUGCAGCAGCUUUUCGAAAGCACGUAAUUUACGUAUUGGUCGUAUUUUGCUAACAACCACUACGGUCCGGCUUCUGGGAAGUAAAGCUCCAAUGAGAACUAAUGAUUUUCCCUUCGCUAAGUACGCCCUCCAACCAGCUAAUCCAUUACAGGCUUCACCUAUUGGACAACUCUAAUUGAAGCGUUUUCUCUAUAUUAUUUUUGCUCUUUAAGCACAAUUGGUGUCCGUCUGAGAAAUACGUUGACUUGUUUAUUUGACCACACGCGUUUGAAUUGACGACUUUUAACUUUUCCACGCAUGCCAAUUAUAUAUAGGUUAUCUCUCAAGAGUCAGAUGUGGCACCACCGCGUUAUCGAAAAUCUUCCAAUAUGGUACGCAAAUAACUUUCGCUUUUCCGGAUGGUAUUGCUCGUUUUGCAUCUACCUUUAGAGACCUAGAUUUCGAUUUCCAGAUGCCUAACAUUAAGUUGUCAAACAAGAUUGUUGUUAAGCCAAAAUUGAAGCAAAUACUUUUUAUAU